GUCAGCUCAGUUGGUUAGAGCCUGGUGCUGAUAAUGCCAAGGUUGCAGGUUUGACCCCCAUAUGGGGCA